rnacentral:rRNA from 1 species
ACACUGGGCGCAGCCUGAUCCAGCAAUGCCGCGUGUGUGAAGAAGGCCUGCGGGUUGUAAAGCACUUUCAGUAGAGAAGAAAAGCCUAGGGUUAAUACCCCUGAGUCUGGACGUAACCUACAGAAGAAGCACCGGCUAACUCCGUGCCAGCAGCCGCGGUAAUACGGAGAGUGCGAGCGUUAUUCGGAAUUACUGGGCGUAAAGCGCGCGUAGGCGGCUUGGUAAGUCGGAUGUGAAAGCCCCGGGCUUAACCUGGGAAUUGCAUUCGAUACUGCUUGACUUGAGUAUGGUAGAGGGAAGUGGAAUUUCCGGUGUAGCGGUGAAAUGCGUAAAUAUCGGGAGGAACACCAGUGGCGAAGGCGACUUCCUGGACCAAUACUGACGCUGAGGAGCGAAAGCCCGGGGAGCAAACAGGAUUAUUUGGUCUGGUAAUCCACGCCGUAAACGAAGACAACUAGAUGUCGGUUUGAUUGAGCCUUCCCGGCCCCCACUAAACGGGUUAAUUUCCCCGCCGGGGGAGUACUUUGGAACGGUUAAAAUUCAAGGGAUUUGAG